ACUACAUGCAAGUCGAGCGGACGAGAUGGGAGCUUGCUCCCUGAUGUUAGCGGCGGACGGGUGAGUAACACGUGGGUAACCUGCCUGUAAGACUGGGAUAACUCCGGGAAACCGGGGCUAAUACCGGAUGGUUGUUUGAACCGCAUGGUUCAGACAUAAAAGGUGGCUUCGGCUACCACUUACAGAUGGACCCGCGGCGCAUUAGCUAGUUGGUGAGGUAACGGCUCACCAAGGCUACAAUGCGUAGCCAACCUGAGAGGGUGAUCGGCCACACUGGUACUGAGACACGGCCCAUACUCCUACGGGAGGCAGCGGUAGGGAAUCUUCCGCACUGAACGAAAGUCGGACGAAACAACCCCGGGUGAGUGAUGAAG
rnacentral:rRNA from 1 species